CUAUGGAUUUGCUAUGGUUGUCUCUUGUUGUCAGUGCUGAAAAUAUAAACACGACAAUGAAACUCAGUGGUGGCAAGUCUGCAAAGGGAAAAUCUACUGUGCUCCAAUUACGAGGACUUUAGGAAGGCCAACCUGACCCAGAGACAGAAUUAAGAAGAGAGAGGAGUGACUCAUUUGCAUGAACUUUAAUACCUGCUCCCAAAUAUGACUUCUUUUAGUUAGUCUGCUCUAUAACCAACUGGUGGAGCAGUCACAAGCUUUGGAAAGGGGAUCAGCAGAUGACAUGUUUGCCAACCUUUUCCAUAAACUGAGGAAAAAAGUCUUCCCUGGAGAACAUGUUCUGCCACCGGCCUAUUCUCUCUGGCUGGAAUGUUUUUUUCUUCAAGCACCUGCUUCUGCACUGAGAUGAAGUAAAUUGGUAGAAUGGGGAAAUGAUCUGAAGAUGAGAGAUUACUGAUACCCAGAAGAAGUCCUUGAUGCAAGAUUUAGAGGAAGAAAAAUGUGACAAGAUCAAUUUACAGAGAGGGGGGGGUCAAAGAAAAGAGUUACUUCUCUUGAGAUAGCAUGGGUGAAUAAUAACCCCCAUUAUCUGCUUUUUCACUUCCUCUGAUUUGGGUUACCUGUGGUCAACUACAUUCUAAAACUAUUAAAUAGAAAUUUUCAAAAAUAAACAAUUCCUAAG